CAGAGGUGCCAAGCGUUAGGCGGAAUCACUGGGCUUAAAGCGCGCGUAGGCGGAUGUUUAAGUGUCUUGUGAAAUCCCACGGCUCAACCGUGGAACUGCUGGGCAUACUGGACAUCUCGAGGCACUCAGGGGCGAGCGGAACAAGUGGUGGAGCGGUGAAAUGCGUAGAUAUCACUUGGAACGCCAAUGGUGAAGACAGCUCGCUGGGGGUGUCCUGACGCUGAGGCGCGAAAGCCAGGGGAGCGAACGGGAUUAGAUACCCCGGUAGUCCUGGCCCUAAACGAUGUCCACUAGAUCAUGGCGGCUCUGACGCCGUCAUGGUCGGAGCAAAAGUGUUAAGUGGACCGCCUGGGAAGUACGGUCGCAAGGCUA
rnacentral:rRNA from 1 species